rnacentral:rRNA from 1 species
GUAGCAAUACUUUAACGGCGAAUGGGUGAGUAACACGUGCUUAAUCUACCUCUUAGAUUGGAAUACCUAAUGGAAACAUUGGUUAAUGCCGGAUACGCAUGGAGUCGCGUGACUCCGUUGUGAAAGGGGCCUUUAAAGCUCCACUAAGAGAUGAGGGUGCGGAACAUUAGCUAGUUGGUGAGGUAGCGGCCCACCAAGGCUAUGAUGUUUAGCCGGGUCGAGAGACUGAACGGCCACAUUGGGACUGAGAUACGGCCCAAACUCCUACGGGAGGCAGCAGUAGGGAAUAUUCCACAAUGAGCGAAAGCUUGAUGGAGCGACACAGCGUGCACGAUGAAGGUCUUAUGGAUUGUAAAGUGCUGUUGCAAGGGAAGAAAAAGUAGUUGAGGAAAUGCUUCUACAUUGACGGUACCUUGUUAGAAAGCGAUGGCUAACUAUGUGCCAGCGGCCGCGGUAAUACAUAGGUCGCAAGCGUUAUCCGGAAUUAUUGGGCGUAAAGCGUUCGUAGGCUGUUUAUUAAGUCUGGAGUCAAAUCCCAGGGCUCAACCCUGGCUCGCUUUGGAUACUGGUAAACUAGAGUUGGAUAGAGGUAAGCGGAAUUCCAUGUGAAGCGGUGAAAUGCGUAGAUAUAUGGAAGAACACCAAAGGCGAAGGCAGCUUACUGGGUUUAUACUGGCGCUGAGGAACGAAAGCGUGGGGAGCAAACAGGAUUAGAUACCCUGUAGUCCACGCCGUAAACGAUGAUCAUUAGUCGGCAGAGAACUGUUGACGCAGCUAACGCA